GACGAACGCUGGCGGCGUGCUUAACACAUGCAAGUCGAACGGAAAGGCCCUGCUUUUGUGGGGUGCUCGAGUGGCGAACGGGUGAGUAACACGUGAGUAACCUGCCCUUGACUUUGGGAUAACUUCAGGAAACUGGGGCUAAUACCGGAUAGGAGCUCCUGCUGCAUGGUGGGGGUUGGAAAGUUUCGGCGGUUGGGGAUGGACUCGCGGCUUAUCAGCUUGUUGGUGGGGUAGUGGCUUACCAAGGCUUUGACGGGUAGCCGGCCUGAGAGGGUGACCGGCCACAUUGGGACUGAGAUACGGCCCAGACUCCUACGGGAGGCAGCAGUGGGGAAUAUUGCACAAUGGGCGGAAGCCUGAUGCAGCAACGCCGCGUGCGGGAUGACGGCCUUCGGGUUGUAAACCGCUUUCGCCUGUGACGAAGCGUGAGUGAGGGUAAUGGGUAAAGAGGCACCGGCUAACUACGUG
rnacentral:rRNA from 1 species